UUAACUGAAACCAAAAUAGAGGUAUAUUACUGUUAAUAAUAUUAUUGAAUAAACUAUUCCGGUUAAG
rnacentral:tRNA from 1 species